ensembl:lncRNA
CCCCAGCCCAGAUUAACAGAACAGUAUAAGGUAGAACCAGCCCCAGCCCAGACUAAAUGAUGAGUAUGACGUAGAACCAGCUCCAGCCCAGACUAACAGAACAGUAUGAGGUAGAACCAGCCCAGACUAACAGAACAGCAUGAGGUAGAAUCAGCCAAGACUAAAAUAACAGUAUGUGGUAGUACCAACCCAGACCCAGACUAACAGAACAGCAUGAGGUAGACCCAGCCCCAGCCCAGACUAACAGAACAGUAUGAGGUAGAACCACCCCCAGUGCAGACUAACAGAACAGUAUGUGGUAGUACCAAACCCAGCCCAGACUAACAGAACAGUAUGUGGUAGUACCAGCCCCAGCCCAGACUAACAGAACAGCAUGAGGUAGAACCAGCCCCAGCCCAGAAUAACAGAACAGCAUGAUGUAGAACCAGCCCCAGCCCAGACUAAAAGAACAGUAUGAGGUAGAACCACCCCCAGCGCAGACUAACAGAACAGUAUGAGGGAGAAUCAGCCAAGACUAAAAUAACAGUAUGUGGUUGUACCAACCCAGACCCAGACUAACAGAAUAGCAUGAGGUAGACCCAGCCCCAGCCCAGACUAACAGAACAGUAUGACGUAGAACCCGCCCCAGCCCAGACUAACAGAACAGUAUGAGGUAGAACCACCCCAGCGCAGACUAACAGAACAGUAUGAGGGAGAACCAGCCACAGCCCAGACUAACAGAACAGUAUGAGG